rnacentral:rRNA from 1 species
GAGUUUGAUCAUGGCUCAGGAUGAACGCUAGCGACGUGCCUAAGGUAUGCAAGUCGAACGGGCAGGGGCAACCCUGCUAGUGGCGAACGGUCGCGUAACACGUAGACAACCUGCCUCCGAGUGGGGGACAACAGCGGGAAACUGCUGCUAAUACCGCAUGUGGUCCACGGUGGCAUCACCGUGGUACUAAAGGCGCAAGUCGCUCGGAGAUGGGUCUGCGGCCUAUCAGGUAGUUGGUGGGGUAACGGCCUACCAAGCCGACGACGGGUAGCUGGUCUGAGAGGAUGAUCAGCCGGACGGGGACUGAGACACGGCCCCGACUCCUCCGGGAGGCAGCAAUGAGGGAUAUUGCACAAUGGGCGCAAGCCUGAUGCAGCGACGUCGCGUGGGUGAGGAAGUCCUCGG